rnacentral:lncRNA from 1 species
GGAUGAAACGCUGCUUGGGUUGAUGGCUCGAGGGCAGGAACGAGUAAUUCUUGGAACAGAAGAUGGCUUCUUGGUGUUUCGCCCUCAGCUCUCUGGGCUGUGAGCCUCUGACUGCCUGGAAGUCUUUUCAGGCUGUGAGCUUUGAGCAAAGACUGUGUGGACGUGUGGUACUUGUCACAGCUUAUCCUGAUACGUUGUAAAAUAUUUGCUCUUUUCUUGUAAACUGGGAAGACCAGAGAAAGUUUUUCUCACAGAUGUCUCCAGAAACCCAAUCCCAAGGACAAGAAGGGCUGGGGAUGGAGAAGCUGACCUGGCCUGGGCUCAUCUGUGAGCAUGGAAGAGCAGUGUGGUGAUACGUGCUAAGGAUUGUCCUGAGACUUUAAUGAGGAGGAAGUCACCAUGGCAAACAAUUACUCAAGAAACAGGCUGUUCUUUUGAGAGUUAGUAACUCAAGAGUAAAGUGGUAUAUGUCUGCCCGCAAGCAGGUCGUUGCUCCGUAUCUCCAGUUACGAAUCUGCUUGGCUGGAGUUUUUGCUCACAAGGAAACAACGUGGUGAUCUUCUCCAAAUGUCGGACUUGGCCAAGAAAAGGUUAUCCUAGAGUUCUUAUCUAGGACUCUUAACCCUUGAUCUACAAGCUUACGGCAGAGAGUGCAAUGAGACAGGAAGGGCUGGUCAACUGCUCAGAGAACAUGUUGAGUAAUUUUGCUUUUGAAAAUAAGACACAGCUGGUGAUGUUCAGGCUAGCCACUACAACCGAAGUCACUUUGAAGUUUGACUUUGAGGAUCAGGAAGUUUGGGCAUGAUGAGACCUUCCUCAGGCUGGAACGAAGGAGAUGAAUUGUGUAUUUAUUUUAUUUUAUUAGUACACUGUAGCUGUACAGAUGGUCAUGAGCCAUCAUGUGGUUGCUGGGAAUUGAACUCAGGACCUCUGCUUGCUCUGGCCCUGCUUGCUCCAGCCCCACUUGCUCCGGUCCCAAGAUUUAUUUAUUAUGUAAGGACACUGUAGCUGUCUUCAGACACACCAGAAGAGGGCGUCAGAUCUCAUUAUGGAUGGUUGUGAGCCACCAUGUGGUUGCUGGGAUUUGAACUCAGGAUCUUCAGAAGAGCAGUCAGUGCUCCUAACCACUGAGCCAUCUCUCCAGCCUGAAUUGUGUUCUAAUAUGACGAUUUAUCUUUUCUCUAGCAAUAAACUUACUGCUGGAGAAAAAAACACUAGGUAGGGUUUAUAUGUGCUGGGAAGAAAGUGAGGUGUGCCUGUGGACCCAGACUAGGAAACAAUGGGAUUUGAAGUGGGGCCUCUGCAGAGUGGGCAGUAGAAAGCCCGUGCGUGUCUUGGGCUGACCUUGCCGUGGCAACUUGGAUAGAUGGGAGACAUUCAGGCAGGUGGAGGAGCCUGGAAAGGUCUCUGAAUCACAGAGCCAUCCGUCUGCUGCAUUGGCAUGAUGUAACCCAGGUGCUGACAAAGGGAGAUAGGGAAAUAUUUUCUCCCAGGAGAGAAGCGUGGGGCAGUUAGAUCGUGGGCAUAUUCUCUAGUGCCCCUGUGUUCUCUACUUUUAGUGCUGCCGACAGAAAGCAGCAGGCUUGUAUCUGCGGAUUGAAUUAUUCAGCUGUUGAUCUGAAUGAAAGAACAGGGCCCAUGACAUGUAUCGAUCUGUAAAAGCACUUGCCUCAAAAGCCUGAUAAAUACCUGAGUUCAGUCUCCAGAACCCAUAUAAAAGGCCGGAUGCCCCAUAGCCUAGAACCAACUCCCAAGCCUUGUCCUCUCACCUGCACAUAACUGAACUCUGUUCUCUGUUUACUUGACCAGCAGAUGAUGUCUCUCAGGCGAGUUUAUAGGCCAUUCCAAAGUUUCAAAGAGAGGGCUAGGGCAUCCCGUGGGCAAUGCCAGCCUUUCCUAGGGCUUGAGGGAGCACUGGGCAUUCACAGUGGGAGGAGGGUCAUGCUGCUGCUUAUGAGAACAAAGUGGCUCGAACAGCUUUACGAGGGAGAACAUUUUCCCUUCACAAUCUGUAUUUUAUGAAAAUAGAGAGCACUUGUUAGUAGCCAAGAGUAGAGACAAUUUGAAUCAAUUGAGCUUCCUGCAGAGAGUUUUAUUUCUCCAAAAUUAUGCUCGGAGAAUUUAAAUGACCAAAGUUUCUCAAACUAUUAAUAAGUAGAAAACGAACAAAUCACAUUCUAUCUACUUUCAUGGAUCAAAUAUAUCAAUAUUAAAAAAAAUUAAAAUGU